rnacentral:rRNA from 1 species
UACGGAGGAUGCAAGCGUUAUCCGGAAUGAUUGGGCGUAAAGCGUCCGCAGGUGGCUGUGUAAGUCUGCUGUCAAAGAGCAAAGCUCAACUUUGUAAAGGCAGUGGAAACUACACGGCUAGAGUGCGUUCGGGGCAGAGGGAAUUCCUGGUGUAGCGGUGAAAUGCGUAGAGAUCAGGAAGAACACCGGUGGCGAAGGCGGUUCUCUGGGCCGAUACUGACGCUGAGGAGCGAAAGCGUGGGGAGCGAACAGG